AUUAGUUAGUUGGCGGUGUAACGGACCACCAAGACGACGAUGCGUAGGGGUUCUGAGAGGAAGGUCCCCCACACUGGUACUGAGACACGGACCAGACUCCUACGGGAGGCAGCAGUGAGGAAUAUUGGUCAAUGGGCGGGAGCCUGAACCAGCCAAGUCGCGUGAGGGAUGACGGCCCUAUGGGUUGUAAACCUCUUUUGCCGGGGAGCAAAGUGCCGCACGUGUGCGGUUUGGAGAGUACCCGGAGAAAAAGCAUCGGCUAACUCCGUGCCAGCAGCCGCGGUAAUACGGAGGAUGCGAGCGUUAUCCGGAUUUAUUGGGUUUAAAGGGUGCGUAGGCGGACGCUUAAGUCAGCGGUAAAAUUGCGGGGCUCAACCUCGUCGAGCCGUUGAAACUGGGUGCCUUGAGUGGGCGAGAAGUACGCGGAAUGCGUGGUGUAGCGGUGAAAUGCAUAGAUAUCACGCAGAACUCCGAUUGCGAAGGCAGCGUACCGGCGCCCAACUGACGCUGAAGCACGAAGGCGUGGGUAUCGAACAGGAUUAGAUACCCUGGUAGUCCACGCAGUAAACGAUGAAUGCUAGUUGUCCGGGGCGAUUGAGUUCUGG
rnacentral:rRNA from 1 species